rnacentral:rRNA from 1 species
GGCCCCAUGAGGGCCUAACUGUCUCCCUUGGCCACUCAAUGAACCUGAUCUCCCAGUACAAAAGCUGGAAUAAGCCCACAAGACGAGAAGACCCCGUGGAGCUUAAGGCCUCCCACUACCCACACCCAUAGUGCCUCCCUUCAGUUGGGGCGACUGCGGAAAAAACAAAACCUCCACGCACAAUACAACGGUUAACACACCACCGUACUAAAAAUAUGACCCAGUACAACUGACUAACGAACCAAGUUACCCCGGGGAUAACAGCGCCAUCCUCUUACAGAGCCCCUAUCGCCAAGAGGGUUUACGACCUCGAUGUUGGAUCAGGACCCCCAAGUGGCGCAGCAGCUACUAACGGUUCGUUUGUUCAACGAUUAA